GUUUCGUUCCGCUGGCGACCGACCAGCAGGUGACUCUGGUGAGGUGCGCUGCCUGGUAGUAUUUUUCGAAAUCGGGGAGCGCCAGGCCUCCUCUGAGUUUAGGCAGGGUUAGUUGAGCGUGCGCUAUGCGUGGGGAUUUGCCCUUCCAUACGAACGUGCGGACCUCUGCCCGUAGUGUCUUGAAGAAGGCUUGUGGGGCUAGUAUCGGCACAGUUUGGAACACGAAGAGAAGUUGUGGUAGUAGCAUCAUCUUGAGAGCUCCAUUUAUUUAGUUCCUCCGUUGCUUUUUUUAGUAAAGGGAGGUAGUUGUGGGUGUAAAGGUCUGCCGGGCUGGGUGUGAG